UAUGGCCAUAUCAUGCUGAAACACUAGUUCACUUACAAUCACCAAAGUUAAGUAAUGUUGAGCCUGGUCAGUACCUAGAUGGGUGCCCACUUGGGAACACCAGGUGCUGUAAG